CCUACGGGUGGCAGCAGUGAGGAAUAUUGGUCAAUGGGCGCGAGCCUGAACCAGCCAAGUCGCGUGAGGGAAGACGGUCCUAUGGAUUGUAAACCUCUUUUGUCGGGGAGCAAAAGACGCCACGCGUGGCGUUCCGAGAGUACCCGAAGAAAAAGCAUCGGCUAACUCCGUGCCAGCAGCCGCGGUAAUACGGGGGAUUCGAGCGUUAUCCGGAUUUAUUGGGUUUAAAGGGUGCGCAGGGGGAAGAUCAAGUGAGCGGUAAAAUUGCGAGGCUAAACCUCUUUGAGCCGUUGAAACUGGUUGUCUUGAGUGAGUGAGAGGUAUGCGGAAUGCGUGGUGUAGCGGUGAAAUGCAUAGAUAUCACGCAGAACUCCGAUUGCGAAGGCAGCAUGCCGGAGCACAACUGACGCUCAUGCACGAAAGUGUGGGUAUCGAACAGGAUUAGAUACCCCUGUAGUC
rnacentral:rRNA from 1 species